rnacentral:rRNA from 1 species
GACGAACGCUGGCGGCGUGCCUAAUACAUGCAAGUAGAACGCUGAAGGAGGAGCUUGCUUCUCCGGAUGAGUUGCGAACGGGUGAGUAACGCGUAGGUAACCUGCCUGGUAGCGGGGGAUAACUAUUGGAAACGAUAGCUAAUACCGCAUAAUAGUAGAUGUUGCAUGACAUUUACUUAAAAGGUGCAAUUGUAUCACUACCAGAUGGACCUGCGUUGUAUUAGCUAGUUGGUGGGGUAACGGCUCACCAAGGCGACGAUACAUAGCCGACCUGAGAGGGUGAUCGGCCACACUGGGACUGAGACACGGCCCAGACUCCUACGGGAGGCAGCAGUAGGGAAUCUUCGGCAAUGGACGGAAGUCUGACCGAGCAACGCCGCGUGAGUGAAGAAGGUUUUCGGAUCGUAAAGCUCUGUUGUAAGAGAAGAACGAGU